rnacentral:rRNA from 1 species
AUUGAACGCUGGCGGCAUGCCUUACACAUGCAAGUCGAACGGCAGCACGGGUGCUUGCACCUGGUGGCGAGUGGCGAACGGGUGAGUAAUACAUCGGAACAUGUCCUGUAGUGGGGGAUAGCCCGGCGAAAGCCGGAUUAAUACCGCAUACGAUCUACGGAUGAAAGCGGGGGACCUUCGGGCCUCGCGCUAUAGGGUUGGCCGAUGGCUGAUUAGCUAGUUGGUGGGGUAAAGGCCUACCAAGGCGACGAUCAGUAGCGGGUCUGAGAGGGAGACCAGCCACACUGGGACUGAGACACGGCCCAGACUCCUACGGGAGGCAGCAGUGGGGAAUUUUGGACAAUGGGCGAGAGCCUGAUCCAGCAAUGCCGCGUGUGUGAAGAAGGCCUUCGGGUUGUAAAGCACUUUUGUCCGGAAAGAAAUCCUUGGCUCUAAUACAGUCGGGGGAUGACGGUACCGGAAGAAUAAGCACCGGCUAACUACGUG